UUCCGGGCCUUGUACACACCGCCCGCACACCACGAAAGUUGGCAAUACCCGAAGCCGGUGGCCUAACCCGCAAGGGAGGGAGCCGUCGAAGGUAGGGUCGAUGAUUGGGGUG
rnacentral:rRNA from 1 species